GUGAGGAAUAUUGCACAAUGGGCGCAAGCCUGAUGCAGCGACGCCGCGUGGGUGAAGAAGGUUUUCGGAUCGUAAAACCCUUUUCUGUGUGACGAGAACGGACGGUAGCACAGGAAUAAGUCUCGGCUAACUACGUGCCAGCAGCCGCGGUAAAACGUAGGAGACAAACGUUAUCCGGAGUUACUGGGCGUAAAGGGCGUGUAGGUGGUUACGUAAGUCUGGCGUGAAAUAUCUCGGCUUAACCGAGGCAGGUCGUCGGAUACUGCGUGACUUGAGGACGGUAGAGGCGUGUGGAAUUCCGGGUGUAGUGGUGAAAUGCGUAGAGAUCCGGAGGAACACCAGUGGCGAAGGCGACACGCUGGGCCGUACCUGACACUGAUGCGCGACAGCAUGGGGAGCAAACAGGAUUAGAAACCCCUGUAGUCC
rnacentral:rRNA from 1 species